GAGGGGGAUUAGCCAGCUUCUCUGACCACUUUCACACUUAACAGUCAGCAAAGCCCUCCAAACACACACAUUUUUUUGAUGCUCAGCAAACGCAGCAAAUUUAAAUAAAAAUUCAUUGCUUGAAUGAAAUAAUACAUAUUUAUUGGUAAUCGACACGCAUUACUAAUUAUGAUGAUGGACUAGCAUAAUAAAGAACUUUUAAUUUUGUAAUUCUAUAUUUCCCUGUCAUGUCUAUAGUAUCUUAAUACAGGUCUCAACAAAACCACAGCACUUGUUACCAACUGAAACAGAACAAACUGUUCCCUACAGAAACAUUUUUUCAUGGGAUGUUCCUGCCUGCAAAAUUCACAAGAUAGCCUCAGGCUGAAGCCAAUAAGCUAAUGGAAAUGUCAGCUGUAUUCUUGCCAGACCUGUCUACAGGAGCAAGUGCGGGGCAAAUUCAGAUGAGCCAUACAGCUUGCUUCUGUGUCAUCUGCCCGUGUGAGUGAGGA
rnacentral:lncRNA from 13 species